CUCUGACAGGAGGGACCAUAAGGGCUGUAGGAAGAAAUCGUAGUCUUCCUGGCUCCCUCAAUGCUUUCAUCAGUACCUUCCGGUGGCGAGGGAUGGUCAAUAAUGUUGUACUAACUGCAGAAGAUUUCAGAGGCCGAUGCCUAUCCAAAGCCAACACGGCGCGUUUCACCGGCUGAGAAACAAAGAAAGAUGGCGGUGCCCUUUGUACACUUUAGAGCAGAGACGUUACUCUGGAGCAGGGGUUAAAUUUCAGCCCCACCUGAGAUGUCAGACUCUGAAUGCAGGACUCACCAUUUGUAAACUGGACUAAAUAUCCUUAUUAUAUCAAAUGAAAUAAUUCUGAAGAGGCAAGAGAAGAAGGGCCCUAUUGCUAGGAAAACUAAGAAUUUGUUGCCAGCAGACGUGCUCAAAAAAGAAUUGAUAAAGGAGACGCUGAGAAAAAAGAAAUAAUGGAAGGAAAUAUAUGUAACAUCAGGAAUGAAGAAAAAGGAAUGGAAAAGGUAAAGACAUCAUCAAAUACAAUAGACUAGUCUCCUUUUGAGUUUUUACAAUUAUGUUGAAUAGUUGAAAGCAAACGUGACAACUUUACCUGAUAUGGUUCUCAGUGUAUGUAGAAGUGUUGAAUAUCAUUUGCUGUUAUGGAAUUGUAAAGUAAGGCCAUCAUUAUAUAUUCCCCCAUACCUGAUAGGAUGGCUGGAAUCAUAUAUGACACUGCCAAGUGCUAGAAAAGACAUGGAAUAGCCAGAGCAUUCAUACAUUACUGGUGGGAAUGUAAAUUAGUAUAGCCACUCUGGAAAAGUUUGGCAUUUUCUUAUAAAGUUAAACACAGACGUAACGUAUGACUCCUACAUAUCCCAAAGAAACAAAUUCUUAUAUUCACAUAAAAUUGGGUACACAGAGACCUAAAUAGACAUUUCUCCAAAGAAGAUGUACAGAUGGCCAACAAACACAUGAAAAGAUGCUCAACAUCACUAAUUAUUAGAGAAAUGCAAAUCAAAACUACGAUGAGAUAUCACCUCACACCAGUCAGAAUGGCCAUCAUCAAAAAAUAUACAAACAGUAAGUGCUGGAGAGGGUAUGGAGAAAAGGGAACCCUCAAACACCAUUGGUGUGAAUGUAAAUUAAUACAACCACUAUGGAAAACAGUAUGGAGGUUCCUUAAAAAACUAAAAAUGGAACUACCAUAUGACCCAGUAAUCCCACUACUGGGCAUAUACUGAGAGAAAACCAUAACUCCAAAAGACACAUGCACCCCAAUGUUCAUAGCAACACUAUUUACAAUAGCCAGGACAUGGAGGCAACCUAAAUGUCCAUCAACAGAGGAAUGGAUAAAGAUGAUGUGAUACAUAUAUAUAAUGGAAUAUUACUCAGCCAUAAAAAUGAAAUUGGGUCAUUUGUAGAGACGUGGAUGGGCCUAGACAGUGUCAUAGACGGUGUCAUACAGAUGGAAGUAAGUCAGAAAGAGGAAAGCAAAUAUUGUAUAAUGCAUAUAUGUGGAAUCUAGAAAAAUGGUAUAAACGAUCUUAUUUGCAAAGCAGAAAUAGAGACACAGACGUAGAGAAAAAAUGGAUACCAAGGGGGAAAGGGGUGGGGAGGGAGGAACUGGGAAACUGGGAUUGACACAUACAUUAUUCACACUAUGUAUAAAACAGACAACUGAUGGAAACAUACUGCAUAGCAUAGGGAACUCUAAUGCACUGUGAUAACCUAAAUGGGAGGGAGGUCCAAAAGGGAGGGGAUAUCUGUAUGUGUAUGGCUGAUUCAUUUUGCACAACAUUGUAAAGCAAGUAUAAAAAUUAAUAAAUUUAUCCAAUAAAACAAUAUCCAAUAAAAAUAAAGAAAAAAAAUUGGGUACACAGAUGUUCAUAGGUUUUUAUUCAAAACAG